rnacentral:rRNA from 1 species
GACGAACGCUGGCGGCGUGCCUAAUACAUGCAAGUAGAACGCUGGCGGAGGAGCUUGCUCUUCUGGCUGAGUUGCGAACGGGUGAGUACCGCGUAGGUAACCUGCCUGGUAGCGGGGGAUAACUAUUGGAACCGAUAGCUAAUACCGCAUAACAGUAGAUGUUGCAUGACAUUUACUUAAAAGGUGCAAUUGCAUCACUACCAUAUGGACCUGCGUUGUAUUCGCUCGUUGGUGGGGUGACGGCUAACCAAGGCGACGAUACAUAGCCGACCUGAGAGGGGGCUCGGCCACGCUGGGACGGAGACACGGCCCAGACUCCUACGGGAGGCAGCCGUAGGGGAUUUUCGGCAAUGGACGGAAGUGUGACCGAGCAACGCCGCGUGCGUGAAGAAGGUUUUCGGAUCGUAAGGCUCUGUUGUAAGAGAGGAACGAGUGUGAGAGUGGAAAGGUCACACUGUGACGGUAUCGUACCAGAAAGGGACGGCUAACUACGUG